GAUGAACGCUGGCGGCGUGCCUAAUACAUGCAAGUCGAGCGAACAGAUGAGGAGCUUGCUCCUCUGACGUUAGCGGCGGACGGGUGAGUAACACGUGGAUAACCUACCUAUAAGACUGGGAUAACUUCGGGAAACCGGAGCUAAUCCCGGAUAAUAUAUUGAACCGCAUGGUUCAUUAGUGAAAGACGGUUUUGCUGUCACUUAUAGAUGGAUCCGCGCCGCAUUAGCUAGUUGGUAAGGUAACGGCUUACCAAGGCAACGAUGCGUGGCCGACCUGAGAGGGUGAUCGGCCACACUGGAACUGAGACACGGUCAAGACGCCUAAGGGAGGCAGCAGUAGGGAAUCUUCCGCAAUGGGCGAAAGCAUGACGGAGCAACGCCGCGUGAGUGAUGAAGGUCUUCGGAUCGUAAAAAUCUGUUAUUAGGGAAGAACAAAUGUGUAAGUAACUAUGCACGUCUUGACGGUACCUAAUAAGAAAGCCACGGCUAACUACGUG
rnacentral:rRNA from 1 species